rnacentral:snoRNA from 1 species
CUGCCGUGAUGAUCCUAGGACACCUUUGUAUUCAAUAUGAAACCAAUCUUUACUCUGAGCAGC